GGGGGGCGGGGCGUGACUCACUCGGGCGCGCCGCUGGCCCUGCUCCGCCGAGUGCACGUGAGCGCGCUGCGCGCUGGUUUCUAAGUUUAGCUGCGCCUGCCCAGGAACUUUCGUGAAGGUCCCUUCACUGCUUUCACCAGAGUGUGAGCUCCUCUGUGCCAUCACAGUGGACGAUACUUUUGUACACAUGGUGAGGAGGGUGAAGCCCGUCGGCCACGCAGCCGGGACGCCCGGGUUCAAAUCUCCUGUGACUUGAGNNNNNNNNNCCCAUCCCACGAGCACGCAGACUUGUGGCUGCCCCAGACUUCCUGGUCGGACAAGAUCACUCAACACAGGUGGCAGGGUAACGCCCUCUUGGCUACUUAGCUAAUCUGCUCCAAACAGCUUACAAGGUGGAAACCCGGCCCCCGGGAUGGGAUGCCCGCAGAAAGGAACGACCCCCAGAAAGGAGUCCAGCCUUCCCCUAGGGGAGCCCCGUAGACACCCACUCUGCAGAGUCAUCCAACAGACCCCCAGCACGUUCCACGCUGACCUCUGCCAGACGCCGUAGCCAGGCCAGCUGACAGCGGCCUCCCUGGGGCUGGCCCCACGCGUGCUUUGCAGAUGGAAUUGAGAGCCACAAAAGCCAGCAGCUCCCCAGAUGGUGGCCACUCCAUCUGGGUCCUGGAAUAAGGACAACUCAGGGGAGAGUCCAAAGCCAAGUCUAGGUGACCACUGGAGUCAACUAGGAAGAAACAGCUGUGGCGUCAAGCCCCUGAGAGGCAGGGGCUGUUUGUUAUUGCAGCAUAACCUCUUCCCUCGGGCUGAUACCCAGGCCUUGUUCCACACCUCCCGAAUCUCAGCCACCAUGGGAGCCUGAGCGGAGGCAUUCUUCCAAGUGUCACUCACACACUUGUGACUUUGGGGAUCAGCCGGGUUUGGGGAGCCCCACUUUGCUCCACACUGAUUUUGGGGGGUGGCCCUGAACUGUAGGGUUGAAUGGUGGCCUCCCCCAAAAUGGACCCACAUCCCAACCCCUGGGACCUGUGAAUGUUACAUUACUUCAAAGAAGCAUCUUUGUAGGUAUAAUUAAGAAUCUUAAAAAGAAGAGAGCACCCCGAUUAUCCAGUAGGUACCAUGACAAGUGUCCUUAUGUAGAGCAGGCAGAGGGGGAUUUGAAACAAAGGGAACAGAGGAUCCAGAGGCAGAGACCGGAGUGAUGCAGCCACAGGCCGAGGAACACCGACCACAGACAGAAGCUCGAGGAGGCAAAGAAUGCAUCCUUGCCUAGAACCUCAGUGGAGAGUCUGGCCCUGCUGACACCUGGAUUUGGGGCUGCUGGCUUCCAGAACUGUGAGAGAAUACAUUUCUGUUGCUUUAGGCCACCGUGUCUGUGGUACUUUGUUACAGCUGCCAGUGGACAGUGUCCACUCACCCCAGGGGUGCUCCCAGUCUCACAAGGCAAAUCAGGGCUGUACCAGAGAGGGCUGGGCAGCAGGGAUUAGAGGCAAGGCAGCCAGAGCUGGGCUUCCUGCUUGGGAAACAGGCUCGUUGGAGGGGAAGUUGGAGCCGCUUAGUGGAGAAGGGAGAGAAGGAUGCUUUGGAAAAGGGACUGGUAGCUGUGGACACCAGGAUGGGGGCCUGGCGGGUACUCCAGCCACAGAAGAGUCACAGGAUCGGCGCUGGGGAUGAUCGAGUGGAAAGGAGAGAUGGCAAACUUGGCCUUGAAACCCAUGCUGGCCUUUCUUCAUAUCACUAUUUACAAAAGCCAGAAUGGUAAUUUGAAAAAUUGCCUAGGAUUUCACCAUAAGCCAAGACGGUUAAAUUCAAAAUUGUAUCUAUGCCCUGACCACAACCACAAAUUUCAUGUAUAUAAUGCAUGCAUAAUUUAUAUAUACAGAGAUAUUAAACCAUCAGAAAAUUAUGGGAUAGACUUAGGAAUUUUUUCUUUCAUUUUUUUAUUGUUCUUGAAGUUGCAACACUUUAAUAAACAAAAGCCCAAAGUGAGAAGUUUUGGGUUAAUA
rnacentral:lncRNA from 1 species